rnacentral:rRNA from 1 species
AGGACGAACGCUGGCGGCGUGCUUAACACAUGCAAGUCGAGCGGUAAGGCCUUUCGGGGUACACGAGCGGCGAACGGGUGAGUAACACGUGGGUGAUCUGCCCUGCACUUCGGGGUAAGCCUGGGAAACUGGGUCUAAUACCGGAUAUGACCUCCUAUCGCAUGGUGGGUGGUGGAAAGAUUUAUCGGUGCAGGAUGGGCCCGCGGCCUAUCAGCUUGUUGGUGGGGUAAUGGCCUACCAAGGCGACGACGGGUAGCCGACCUGAGAGGGUGACCGGCCACACUGGGACUGAGACACGGCCCAGACUCCUACGGGAGGCAGCAGUGGGGAAUAUUGCACAAUGGGCGAAAGCCUGAUGCAGCGACGCCGCGUGAGGAUGACGGCCUUCGGUUGUAACCUCUUUCAGCAGGACGAAGCGCAAGUGACGGUACCUGACAGAAGAACGCACCGGCUAACACGUCGCCAGCAGCCGC